UCAGGGCAGAUCCCCUUCCUCUUCCCCACGCACGAGCGGGCGCACCGCCGCCGCCGACGCCUUCCUCGCGGAGUUUGCAGCCGAAGGAUCGGUUGGGGCGCACCGGGUCGGCCUUCGGUGGGGCGCAGUGCGAGCUCUCGGCUCGGGGCAGGAGGCGGCUCAAUGAAGAGGAGCUGGGGCGCAGCGCUCCUCUCCUGGUGUGGCGCACGAGGGAAGGAGGAGGGGAUCGAUCCAAGACGGGAGCUGAGGCUGGCGGCGCCCUUCACACAAGCCUCACCGGCGGUGCCUUCUACACAAGCCUCACCGGCGGUGCGGCGGGAGAGCUCCGACCCGUCCAUAGGUGCAGGGAUGCAGAUCCGCGUCGCCAGCCUGUACUAGGCCGAGGUUGAUGCGCCGGCGCAGGGGUCGCCGUCCAUCUUCGCCAGGUGCUUUGGCGCUGUAGAUAACACUUCUGGUUCUCCUCCAUGCUCGCAGGCCUCCAGAGUACUCCAGCAACAGCCACUGGACGGCAGGUAAGCAUGCAUUGUAUGACCUUAGCUAAUUGCGUACAUACAAGUUUGGAUGAAUUCCAAGAGAUGGAGCACUCUAUCCAAAUAGGAGAAGUGUUAGUUUAAAAGGGUACAAUUUUACAAUGAUUUUCAUGGGGAGCAAAGUAAUCACCUGCGGCAAAUUUAAGUUCUAGAAUUGACAUAUAUUCAGUUCCUUUUUUUUAUAAAGAGAGCUCCCUCUCCGAUUUUCAUUAGAAGAAAUCACCGUGCCUUGCAUAUAUUCAUAUAUGCAGUUCCUGGAAGAACAAAGAAGUUGCAUGUCCUUUUAUUUAGUCUGAAAAUCACAUUGAUCCUUGGAGCAUGAUUGGGACAAAUCGCACAUAUGUCCUGUACUGCACACACGUGAAGGCAAAGGAUUUUUCUGAAUGCCAUUGUUGUCCGGUACACAGUGUUUAUCAGUUAGUAAUUUGUCCCUUCCGCAAUGUGAUGAUACUGUCAAUAAGGGAAGCAACAUAUACCAUUGGUUUUGUUGAUAGAUUAAACCACAAACUGGUACAAUGUUUGAGAUAUAAUGUUUUCUAUCUAAAUGUUGUUUCACACAGUUAAUCAUUGGUUUUAUUUGAGAGAUAAAUUAGUUUAUGCACUGAACUAGAAAUAACACAACUACAUAUUGAUUUUCUGCUUAAAUUUCACAAUAGAUAUUUUGCCGGAUGACCCACUGUAUGAGCAUGCCACAUCCUUUCUUGCUCACCCAGCACACGGCAUUCCUGUAAGCCUUCACCCUCCACGCACACCAGCUGCGGUGGAAGCCUAGCUCCUACAGCUCUGCAGUGAGGCACGCAGAGAGUGACGACAACUUCUGAAGCCAUGGCUAGCCUGUGAUUACCAGAGUGGCGAUGAGUGUGAUUUGGAUACCUGUUUUGUUUGCUCCUUCUGUUUUGAUUUGAGUUGAUGGGGAUGAGAUGUGACCCUACUGCUGGGCGUCGCAAAUGCCACGGCUCCAUGUAUGCCCCAGCUUUGGUGAUGCACGGGCGAGGCUACUCGAUCUGGUGUAGUCGCCCUCCUUCCAAGAAAUCAAGUUCUUUCGUUCAGAUUUUAGAUCUCUUGAGUUUCAGCUUAGUUCAAGGAUAGAAAAGCAUGCUCCUUAUGGAUUCAAUGAGGAAAACCAUCAGCCACUUAUUCAGAAUUGGAUGGUGUGGUGCACCUUCAUCUUGCUAUCCAACUUCUUAGCUUAUUUGCUUUAACUUUACUACAGUUAUAUAGCAGGAUAAGGAUCGAAUCUUGUGACGCCACUCCAUUUCCAUCGUCAAAAGUUGCGCAUGAGUUGAUUUAGACUUUCAGAGUUCAGAGAAGACCUAGCAGAGUUAAUCAGCCUGAAGGUAUAUCAGAUCCUAAGGAAAGAGGACCCGGUUCAGAUUUGUCACUACUAUGUGCUGUUGGAUAGCCUUGGUAUGUGUUAGUUUUAAUUUACCGCAGAAGUUCGAUUCUUGGGAGAUAGGACAGGUGCAUACAUUAGUUUUCUUAUGAAUCUGUUCUCUUUUUGUGCACUAUCUAUCUAUGAAAUUUUUCAAAGAAAUUGACGGCGGCGGCUCGGCGGCGGUGUGGCGAAUGACGAAGCAUCUAAAAUGGACGGAAGAGAGGUGGUAGGGCGCGGCUGGGAGACGUACAUAUUUGAGGAAAUACGAUUCAUAAGGUUUCAUAUUAAUAACUUUAUUCUGGGACAACUUUAUUCUCCAAUAUGAAUCUGUAAGAAAAGAUAUGGCAUACAUUUGUGUAAAUUGAUAAUGUAAGCACAUCUCGAAACUCUAUUAUUUUUUCAAGAUUGAUUUACUUGGUGGUGCUAACUUCCAUUUUCUCAAAACAGGGCAUGUGUGCUAUUUCUGAAAAAAGAAGCUGGCAUCCCUGGUGCUACACAGGAGUAUGUAGGAAAAGAAAUGGCAUCUCAUAAUUCUUUGGAUGUAGACCAGUAGGUUCAAUUACAAAUUGUUGGCUGUAAAUGACUUUCAGUUUCUAGCUUUCAUAAAAUUUAGACAUGUACUACUCUUUAACAGUAUGAUGUGGUUGAUGGUGGUCCUAUGUGCUGGUUCAAAUUAUCAUGUUGGAUAAUAUUGCUUUUACUA